AUCAACUUUCGAUGGUAGGAUAGAGGCCUACCAUGGUGGUAACGGGUAACGGGGUGUUAGGGCACGACACCGGAGAGGGAGCCUGAGAAACGGCUACCACAUCCAAGGAUGGCAGCAGGCGCGCAAAUUACCCAAUCCCGACACGGGGAGGUAGUGACAAUAAAUAACAAUACGGGGUUCUUUCGGAUUUCGUAAUUGGAAUGAGUACAAUUUAAAUCUCUUAACGAGGAACAAUUGGAGGGCAAGUCUGGUGCCAGCAGCCGCGGUAAUUCCAGCUCCAAUAGCGUAUAUUAAAGUUGCUGCAGUUAAAAAGCUCGUAGUUGAAUUUCGGGACCAAUAUGUCGGUCGUGCCUCGGUACGUACUGGCAUCGUUGGUUUCUCCCUUCUGACGAACCAUGAUGUCAUUUAUUUGGUGUCGUGGGGAAUCAGGACUGUUACUUUGAAAAAAUUAGAGUGUUUAAAGCAGGCUCACGCUUGAAUACAUUAGCAUGGAAUAAUGAAAUAGGACGUUUGAUUCUAUUUUGUUGGUUUCUAGGAUCGACGUAAUGAUUAAUAGGGAUAGUUGGGGGCAUUAGUAUUCAAUUGUCAGAGGUGAAAUUCUUGGAUUUAUUGAAGACUAACUACUGCGAAAGCAUUUGCCAAGGAUGUUUUCAUUGAUCAAGAACGAAAGUUAGGGGAUCGAAGACGAUCAGAUACCGUCGUAGUCUUAACCAUAAACUAUGCCGACUAGGGAUCGGAUGAUGUUAAUUUUUUAAUGACUCAUUCGGCGCCUUACGGGAAACCAAAGUGUUUGGGUUC
rnacentral:rRNA from 1 species